UUCGUCGCUAAAAUUUAAUGUAAAUAAUUAUAUUUAUUUGUAGCAACAAAUGUCAUAAUUCGUAGCUAAUUUGUUGGUAGUUUUUUUACCGAGUCACACUCAUCAGUCCAUAGAAAAUACAAAAAGGAAACAAAAAACUAAAAUGCCUAAAAAAUAGGGGUUUCUCUCAACUGCAGCAGUUGAGAGAUUCUCCUGUCUAUCAGGUAUUGCUCCCAUCCCUUCUCCUUUUAAUUUCACCCCUCUCCUUCUCCUUUGGAUUUUUCCCAUAUCCUUAUCCUUUUGAUUGCUCCCAUCUCAAGGUGAAAUUGCUCUUGUCUUAGGUGAAAGUGAGCUUCUAGUGCACAGAAGAGGAGGGUGUGGAGUUGUAUUUGGUGAAAAAUAACUGGGGGAAUUAGAUGAGAUUAUCAAGGAAGACCAUUAGUCUUCUGGAAACAUGCUGGGAUACGUGACGUUAAGAUAUUGAUGUACACAUUGUUAGAUUCUUGUAUUUUUUUUUAUAUGUUCUCAUCUAACAUUCUCUUUUAGUUGCUACCUUUUUUUUGAAAACAACUACUGGUUAGAAAGCCUUAAGUUUUCUUAGAACACUUAAUGAUAGUGUGUUCAAAUAAAGAGUAUGCUAAUUACUUCCCUACAUAUGCGAUGCUUAUUUGGUAUUACAUUGCUUUUGGCAACACAUAAA